rnacentral:miRNA from 1 species
GCUGGACUUAGAGCCAGACA